CCUACGGGUGGCUGCAGUGGGGAAUAUUGCACAAUGGGCGCAAGCCUGAUGCAGCCAUGCCGCGUGUGUGAAGAAGGCCUUCGGGUUGUAAAGCACUUUCAGCGGGGAGGAAGGCGGUGAGGUUAAUAACCUCACCGAUUGACGUUACCCGCAGAAGAAGCACCGGCUAACUCCGUGCCAGCAGCCGCGGUAAUACGGAGGGUGCAAGCGUUAAUCGGAAUUACUGGGCGUAAAGCGCACGCAGGCGGUCUGUCAAGUCGGAUGUGAAAUCCCCGGGCUCAACCUGGGAACUGCAUUCGAAACUGGCAGGCUAGAGUCUUGUAGAGGGGGGUAGAAUUCCAGGUGUAGCGGUGAAAUGCGUAGAGAUCUGGAGGAGUACCGGUGGCGAAGGCGGCCCCCUGGACAAAGACUGACGCUCAGGUGCGAAAGCGUGGGGAGCAAACAGGAUUAGAUACCCGAGUAGUC
rnacentral:rRNA from 1 species